rnacentral:rRNA from 1 species
UGGGGAAUAUUGCACAAUGGGCGCAAGCCUGAUGCAGCCAUGCCGCGUGUGUGAAGAAGGCCUUCGGGUUGUAAAGCACUUUCAGCGGGGAGGAAGGCGGUGAGGUUAAUAACCUCAUCGAUUGACGUUACCCGCAGAAGAAGCACCGGCUAACUCCGUGCCAGCAGCCGCGGUAAUACGGAGGGUGCAAGCGUUAAUCGGAAUUACUGGGCGUAAAGCGCACGCAGGCGGUCUGUCAAGUCGGAUGUGAAAUCCCCGGGCUCAACCUGGGAACUGCAUUCGAAACUGGCAGGCUAGAGUCUUGUAGAGGGGGGUAGAAUUCCAGGUGUAGCGGUGAAAUGCGUAGAGAUCUGGAAGAAUACCGGUAGCGAAGGCGGCCCCCUGGACGAAGACUGACGCUCAGGUGCGAAAGCGUGGGGAGCAAACAGG